AGUGAACGCUGGCGGUAGGCCUAACACAUGCAAGUCGAACGGCAGCACAGUAAGAGCUUGCUCUUACGGGUGGCGAGUGGCGGACGGGUGAGGAAUACAUCGGAAUCUACUUUUUCGUGGGGGAUAACGUAGGGAAACUUACGCUAAUACCGCAUACGACCUACGGGUGAAAGCAUGGGAUCUUCGGACCUUGCGCGAUUGAAUGAGCCGAUGUCGGAUUAGCUAGUUGGCGGGGUAAAGGCCCACCAAGGCGACGAUCCGUAGCUGGUCUGAGAGGAUGAUCGGCCACACUGGAACUGAGCCACGGUCCAGACUCCUACGGGAGGCAGCAGUGGGGAAUAUUGGACAAUGGGCGCAAGCCUGAUCCAGCCAUACCGCGUGGGUGAAGAAGGCCUUCGGGUUGUAAAGCCCUUUUGUUGGGAAAGAAAAGCAGCAGGUUAAUACCACGCUGUUCUGACGGUACCCAAAGAAUAAGCACCGGCUAACUUCGUG
rnacentral:rRNA from 1 species